rnacentral:rRNA from 1 species
CACGUAGGGUGCGAGCGUUGUCCGGAAUUAUUGGGCGUAAAGAGCUCGUAGGCGGUGUGUCGCGUCGGCCGUGAAAACCUGCAGCUUAACUGUGGGCUUGCGGUCGAUACGGGCAUCACUGGAGUUCGGCAGGGGAGACUGGAAUUCCUGGUGUAGCGGUGAAAUGCGCAGAUAUCAGGAGGAACACCGGUGGCGAAGGCGGGGUCUCUGGGCCGAUACUGACGCUGAGGAGCGAAAGCGUGGGGAGGCGAACAGG